GUGAAGAACGUAGCGAAAUGCGAUAAGUAAUGUGAAUUGCAGAAUUCAGUGAACCAUCGAAUCUUUGAACGCACAUUGCGCCCGGCAGUAAUCUGCCGGGCAUGCCUGUCCGAGCGUCAUUUCUGCCCUCGAGCGAGUCCAGCAUCUAGGUGCUGGGCCCGCCCGGCGUUGGGGCACUACGGGAAGCCCUGUGCUGUCCCCCGUAGGCCCCGAAAUGAAGUGGCGGUCCUGCCGCGGCGCCCCCUGCGUAGUAUAACAGCUCGCUUCGGGACCCGGUGGAGGCCUGCCGUCAAACCUUACUCUCUAAGUUUGACCUCGGAUCAGGUAGGGUUACCCGCUGAACUUAAGCAUAUCAAUAAGCGGAGGA
rnacentral:misc_RNA from 1 species